CCUACGGGGGGCAGCAGUCGAGAAUCAUUCACAAUGGGGGAAACCCUGAUGGUGCGACGCCGCGUGGGGGAAUGAAGGUCUUCGGAUUGUACACCCCUGUCAUGUGGGAGCAAAUUAAAAAGAUAGUACCACAAGAGUAAGAGACGGCUAACUCUGUGCCAGCAGCCGCGGUAAUACAGAGGUCUCAAGCGUUGUUCGGAAUCACUUGGCGUAAAGCGUGCGUAGGCUGUUUAGUAAGUCGUGUGUGAAAGGAGCGAGGUCAACCCGCGGACGGCACAUGAUACUGGGAGACGUGAGUAAUGGAGGGGGAACCGGAAUUCGCGGUGUAGCAGUGAAAUGCGUAGAUAUCGAGAGGAACACUCGUGGCGAAGGCGGGUUCCUGGACAUUAACUGACGCUGAGGCACGAAGGCCAGGGGAGCGAAAGGGAUUAGAUACCCGAGUAGUC
rnacentral:rRNA from 1 species